UACGGAGGGGGCUAGCGUUGUUCGGAAUUACUGGGCGUAAAGCGCACGUAGGCGGACUCUUAAGUCAGGGGUGAAAUCCUGGAGCUCAACUCCAGAACUGCCUUUGAUACUGGGAGUCUUGAGUUCGGGAGAGGUGAGUGGAACUGCGAGUGUAGAGGUGAAAUUCGUAGAUAUUCGCAAGAACACCAGUGGCGAAGGCGGCUCACUGGCCCGAUACUGACGCUGAGGUGCGAAAGCGUGGGGAGCAAACAGG
rnacentral:rRNA from 1 species